rnacentral:rRNA from 1 species
CAAGUCGAACGAACCUUUCGGGGUUAGUGGCGGACGGGUGAGUAACGCGUGAGAAUCUGCCCUCAGGAGGGGGAUAACGACUGGAAACGGUCGCUAAUACCCCAUAUGCCGAGAGGUGAAAUGAAUUUCGCCUGAGGAUGAGCUCGCGUCUGAUUAGCUAGUUGGUGGGGUAAAGGCCUACCAAGGCGACGAUCAGUAGCUGGUCUGAGAGGAUGAUCAGCCACACUGGGACUGAGACACGGCCCAGACUCCUACGGGAGGCAGCAGUGGGGAAUUUUCCGCAAUGGGCGAAAGCCUGACGGAGCAACGCCGCGUGAGGGAUGAAGGCCUCUGGGCUGUAAACCUCUUUUCUCAAGGAAGAAGAUCUGACGGUACUUGAGGAAUAAGCCACGGCUAAUUCCGUGCCAGCAGCCGCGGUAAUACGGGAGUGGCAAGCGUUAUCCGGAAUUAUUGGGCGUAAAGCGUCCGCAGGCGGCCUUGUAAGUCUGUCGUUAAAGCGUGGAGCUUAACUCCAUUUCAGCGGUGGAAACUACAAGGCUUGAGUGUGGUAGGGGCAGAGGGAAUUCCCGGUGUAGCGGUGAAAUGCGUAGAUAUCGGGAAGAACACCAGUGGCGAAGGCGCUCUGCUGGGCCAUAACUGACGCUCAUGGACGAAAGCCAGGGGAGCGAAAGGGAUUAGAUACCCCUGUAGUCCUGGUCGUAAACGAUGAACACUAGGCGUCGGGGGAAUCGACCCCCUCGGUGUCGUAGCCAACGCGUUAAGUGUUCCGCCUGGGGAGUACGCACGCAAGUGUGAAACUCAAAGGAAUUGACGG